rnacentral:rRNA from 1 species
UACGGGGGGGGCAAGCGUUGUUCGGAAUUACUGGGCGUAAAGGGUUCGUAUGUGGCCAACUUAGUCAGACGUGAAAUCCCUCAGCUUAACUGGGGAACUGCGUCUGAUACUGGAUGGCUCGAGUGCAGGAGAGGAACGCGGAAUUCCAGGUGUAGCGGUGAAAUGCGUAGAUAUCUGGAGGAACACCGGUGGCGAAGGCGGCGUUCUGGACUGCAACUGACACUGAGGAACGAAAGCCAGGGGAGCAAACGGG